rnacentral:lncRNA from 1 species
CGAUCAGUCCUCCUCUUACCACCGGUGCAUCCUUUGAUCGAACAGAUCAGACACCUUGAUCCAUCAGAUCAGACACCUUGAUCCAUCAUCUAUGGAUCAGGUCGUCCAUCCUUACCCAUGAUCAGAUCACACACGGCCUUCCUUGAAUAAUAACACCUAAGUUCAGUACUUAUGGUCCACACCAUCAAGUACUAGCUAUACUCUUAUUCAUGGCUUGCUGCUGGUUCCAAACAUAUUGGACCUUGAAAUCCACAUGGUUCCUCUAAUACCAGGACCCCCAUGUGUCUCUUCCAUGAGUCGGAUUAAUGGUUCACACAUGACCAAACCCAACAC